CCUACGGGGGGCAGCAGUGGGGAAUAUUGGGCAAUGGGCGCAAGCCUGACCCAGCAACGCCGCGUGAAGGAAGAAGGCUUUCGGGUUGUAAACUUCUUUUCUCAGGGACGAAGCAAGUGACGGUACCUGAGGAAUAAGCCACGGCCAACUACGUGCCAGCAGCCGCGGUAAUACGGAGGUGGCAAGCGUUAUCCGGAUUUACUGGGUGUAAAGGGCGUGUAGGCGGGAAAGCAAGUCUGAUGUGAAAACCAUGGGCUCAACCUGUGGCCUGCAUUUGAAACUGUUUUACUUGAGUACUGGAGAGGCAGGCGGAAUUCCUAGUGUAGCGGUGAAAUGCGUAGAUAUUAGGAGGAACACCAGUGGCGAAGGCGGUCUGCUGGACAGCAACUGACGUUGAGGCGCGAAAGCGUGGGGAGCAAACAGGAUUAGAUACCCUUGUAGUC
rnacentral:rRNA from 1 species